CCUGAAGAUUUUAGGGUUACUCUGUUUUUAUUUUUAGCGUUGUAAAGUUAAAUUGAAUGAUUGAGUAGGGAUAAAAUGUUAUUCAGAAGGGUUGAUAGCUGGUUAAAAAGGAAAUAUAUAUUAGUAUAGAGAAAAUUUUUUGCAAAGUUUUGUUUUAGAUUUGUAAAUGUUUUUUUUCAGAUUUAAGGGGUUAAGCUCUUAAGUGAAAUUGGUAUUAUGAUUAAGAAAAAGUUGGGUUUAUGUUGUCUUUCUUUUAAACUUUUGAUUUGAAGUUUUAUUUAUAGGUUGUUUGUGAAGUACUUUUUUGAUGAUUUAAUUUUAUUUUAAAAGUAGUAUAAAAUGAGUAUUUGUGGUUUAAAUUUUAAAAAUAAAAUAUUUUAGUUUAAAAGGUUUUAUUGAUAAGUAAUUAUAAAAAAGGAAUUCGGCAAUAAUUUUUCUCGCCUGUUUACCAAAAACAUCGCCCCUCGUAUAAUUUUAUGAGGGGUUGGACCUGCCCGGUGAUUAGUCAAAUUUUGAAGUUAUUAAAUUAAUAAGAGAUUUUUUUAAACGGCUGCAAUUAGUAGUUGUGCUAAGGUAGCGUAAUCAUUUGCCCCUUAAUUAGGGGAAGGUAUGAAUGGUUUGACGUGGGAAAAGCUGUCUCUUUUAUAUGUAAGGAAGUUUAUUUUUGAGUGAAAAAGCUUAGAUUUUUGUAAAAGACGAGAAGACCCUAUCGAACUUGAAUUAUGUGUUGUAGUUUUAGAGUACAGAAAGUUUAGUUGGGGAAACUUAAAGUUAAGAAAAACGCUUUUUUGUUGUAAAAUGAUCCUGUAUUAUAGAAAAAUGAAAAAGUUACCGUAGGGAUAACAGCGCUUUCUUCUCUGAGAGGACUAAUCAAAGAGUUGGUUGCGACCUCGAUGUUGGAUUAAGGUUUCUUUUUGGGGUAGGAGUUAAAAUAGUAAAACUGUUCGUUUUUUAAAACCUUACAUGAUCUGAGUUCAGACCGGCGUGAGCUAGGUCAGUUUCUAUCUUUAUUAGAAUUUUCUUUGUACGAAAGGAUCGGAAAGUUGA
rnacentral:rRNA from 1 species